rnacentral:lncRNA from 1 species
UAGGUUGAAUGCAUUUAUUGUAAAUGGUUUUUCUGAAGUUGUGUGUUCUCAAUCUCUUUACAGGUAAUACGAUCAUACUUCAAACGUGCUGAUCCAUUCUAUGAUGAGCAGGAAAAUCACAGUCUCAUUGGGGUGGCCAAUGUCUUCCUCGAGUCACUUUUCUAUGAUGUGAAGUUACAAUACGCUGUUCCCAUCAUCAACCAGAAAGGAGAGGUUGGUUUUCUCUUCAUGCCUUGUUUCCUGGGGGAGGGAGGCAGCCAGGGUGCUUUGUAGGUGGUGGCCUGCGUUCUUCCAUCAGGAGCCACAUCUUGUCUAGUUGUUUGUCUUUGAGGGAUGAUCAGCCACUGAUGAUUCUUACCUAGAUAACCUCUCCUUGGUCGGCUCCAGGCCUUUGGCCACUGCCACUCGAGCAGAAGAUUGAACCAAUUCUAGAAGCUGCCAUGUUCUGAAUAUGUC